GGUCUGAGGCGCGGAGGUCGGGGGCUGGGGUUGAGGAUGUGUCUGGGGUUGGGGGUUAGGCUGAAUCUCAGGCGGCUCCUGCACGGGUUCUUUGGCCGGAAAGCUCGGGUUAGGUCGCUGUUGCGGCUGCUCCGGUUGUUGUUGUUGUUGCCGCUGCUGAUGCUGAUGCUGCUGCUGCUGGAGCGUCGGAGUUUGACCGACGGCUUUCCCCUUGAUGGAGUCUCCCGCUGAAGGUUUCGGUUGAGUCGGAUGUCCGGGAUAAGUCAGUUGAAAGGUUUUUCUGAGGGAUAGCUUACUCGUCUUUUGACCCUCGCUGGUUGAUGGGGUGAUUCGUAACGAACCGUUAAAAACGGAUGGAUUCUUCUGAACCGUCGGAGCUGAAGGAGUCUUGUUCUCCCCACCCUCCAGGACCUCUGUAAGUAACCAUGAACAGGGACAUGAUGUUAGAAGCGCGGGUGCCGUCUGGAUUUGUUGGACGCCGGCAGGAAAUGGUAGGUCUUAUACACGCUGAAAGUUCCGCGCUCAAUUUGAUAUUAUGUUGGUUAAGUAGUAAUACGUUGUCUCUCAAAUGGAUUCGGUAUCCGGUUUCUACCAUUAGCGGAGGUUCCCGUGGUCGCCCAGCUGUCAGGUAUUUUGUCCCCCCUUGCACAAAGAGUGAAAUACCUGCCCCACCACCACCCCCAACUCACACGAUGGUUAGAAGCACGGAUCGUGUCUGGAUUUGUUGGACGUCGGCGAUAAAUGUAUCCGGUUUCUACCAUUAGCGGAGGUUCCCGUGGUCGUCCAGCUGUCAG